rnacentral:rRNA from 1 species
CAGCAGCCGCGGGAAUACGUAGGGCGCAAGCGUUGUCCGGAAUUAUUGGGCGUAAAGAGCUCGUAGGCGGUCUGUCGCGUCUGGUGUGAAAUCCCGAGGCUCAACCUCGGGCUUGCAUCGGGUACGGGCAGACUAGAGUGCGGUAGGGGAGACUGGAAUUCCUGGUGUAGCGGUGGAAUGCGCAGAUAUCAGGAGGAACACCGAUGGCGAAGGCAGGUCUCUGGGCCGCAACUGACGCUGAGGAGCGAAAGCAUGGGGAGCGAACAGGAUUAGAUACCCGGGUAGUCCCUGUCUCUUAUAC